rnacentral:lncRNA from 13 species
AUAAGUUUUAGUAUUUGAUAGGUCAGUAGGGAAAUUACAGGAAUAAUUUAUUGUAGAUUUUAAAAUAGCUAGAAGAGAAGGUAUUGUAAUGUUCCCAAUACAAGGAAAAGAUAAGUGUUAGAGGUGAUGGGUAACCCAAUUACCAUGAUUUGAUCAUUACACAUUGUAUACAGGUAUCAAAAUAUCACAUGUACCCCCAAAUGUCAAUUAUAUCAAUUUUUUUAAGUUAGAAAAAGUUUUUAAAGGGAGGCAGAGAAUAAAAUGAACAAUGAGGGAGGGAAGACUCAAGUAGUCAGUAGUGAGAAAAGAGGGGAAAAGAAAAGGAAAGAUGGAAAGAAAGAAGGUUCUUCCUUUAACUUUUGGUGUAAUCCUGGCCUUUGCCGUGCUCGUGUCACACAUUCACACACACACAUCAUACACACACCACACACACACCAUACAAACACCACACACAUACCACACCACACCCACAUUAUACACACACCACACACACACCAUACACACCACACAACACACACUCACCAUGCACACCACACACAUACCACACCACACCCACAUCAUACACACACCACACACACACCAUACACACCACACAACACACACUCAUCAUGCACACCACACACAUACCACACACACCACAAACACACCACACGCUACACCACACACUCACACAACACCACACGCAUCAUAUGCACACCACACACAUGCAACACCACACAUCACAUACCACACACAUGCCACACACACCACACACACAUCAUAUACACACACCACACUACACACACAUUAUACACACAAGCCAAACACCACACACAACAUACAGACACCACACGACACACACAUCAUAUACACAUGCCACAUACCACACACACACAUCAUACACACACCACACACACCAUACACACAUCACACACACAGCACCCUGCACACACAUACACACAUACCACACACACUGCACACCACACCUCACACACAGAACACGUACACCACACACCACAUACACCACACACUCAUACCACACAUAAUCACAUACCCACACACAAACACCACAAACCACAGCACACACACCACACAGGACACACACCACACCACAUACACCCACACACACCACACCACCCAUACCACGCCAUACACACAUACACACCACAUGCACACAUCACACAUACACACACCACACUCACACACAUCACACUCACACACCUCAUACACCACACACUACCUCUUUGAUAGUUGUCUCAGCCCCACACAUCCGGCACAGGAUGUAAAAAUUGGAAAC